UAUCAAUUUUGUGCCAUUUAAUUUUAUUCUAUAAAACAUAUUUGGAAUUUAUUUCAAUGCCUAAAGAUAAUUUGUUAUUUUGAAAACUAAAGAAAUGUAAUAUCAGUCUAUUGAAUUAACAUUCACGAUAUAUUUUUUCAUUACAUUUCUUGAAUAUGAAUUGCAAUAAUGACCAUAUUACAUAUAUAAUAUAUAUACAUAUAUAAAAAGUCAUAGUUUAUUAGCAUUACAUUGUUAUAGACUUGUUCAUUCUUGUAAGAUGCUCAACACUCUUAAUUUCUUCUCAUUUGUAAUAAAACUGGAGAUCGCUUACUAAUGACUUAAAAUGAUGAAAGGAAUUGAGAGUUGUUAUUGAUCACAUAUUUUUUAUAUACCAGUGUUUCUUUAGACAAACAUAUGAUCAGCAUGAUCAGGAAAAGUUUUUUGGUAUAUUUAUUAGAUUAUGGAUAAGUCUAGAUUAUGAUUUUCUUAUGACUUUCUUUUCAUCAAUUUACGCUUAUUAUAGUUGCUGAUUUUGUCAAAUUUAUCUUACGACAUACAAUUAGAUUGCAAAAUAUAUUAUUUCUCGAAUUACAUAAAUAUUUACAUUUUUAUCAAAUAUACUAAACAAGUAUCAAAUAUUAUUUUAAUUGAUCGCACAUGUGAAAUAUUCGUACAAUUAAUUAUAUAUAUUUUCAAGUAUAACAAUCUUCUAUUGUGAUUUGUAUUAAAAACAUCUAAAAAAGUCUAAUUUUCAAAUAUCACAAGUGUAAUAAAAAUAGAAAUGAUUGGCUAAAACAUAAAAAAGUUACGGUCUUUUAUAUUGCAAUCUUUUAAAUGUAUAGUGGUUAUUCUUAAAUAGCAUAUUAUAAUAUUUUUAGUCAUAUGGUCUAUUCAUAUUAUAUAAAAAAUAUUUAUAAAUAUUCCACCUGUGCGUGUAGUUUAUUAAAUGCAUUAUAAAAUUUGGAAGAUAUUUACUUUAUUGGGUAGUAGAAAAACAUUUAAUCUUGCCUCGAGUAUCUUUUUAAUGGAUUAUAAAAGAUUUUUUUUUUUUAUUUGUUUAAUUAUUCAGUUACAAAUGAAAGUUGUGGUUAAAAUUCGUUUUGUUCAUGUAUUGCUUCUAUUAUUUUGAAAUAAAAUUUAAAUUGAAAUAUCGUUGAUCAGGCAAAGAAUUAGUAAAACUUAUUAUUUUUAAUACGACACAUAUUUAAGAAAAUAAACGUAUUGAAAAUAAAUGUAAGUGAGGUACAAAAUAUUUUUGCACAAAAAUUAUUAUUAACAAACAAAUACAACAAUAUUAUAAUUAUGAAUCUAAGAAUAUUGUAUUACAUUUGUAUUACAUGUUCAUAUGCUAUGGAACUGAAAAGAAAUUUCUUGAUGAAGUAUAAGCGCCAAUUAAUAUUUUUAUCGAUAUAACAACGAAUUGUAUUCCCUGCAAUUUUUCUUCUCAAUAUGAACAGUAUUUUCUUAUUUUUUUUAACGUUCUAAUAAAAGAAGAAACAAUUUAUCAACAAUCGUAAAAUAAAAAUUGAUCAACAAUAUUGUUUAGUUAUAUGAAAGAUUGCAAGGAAAGUGAACAAAAGUCUGUUAAUUCGGGACUUGUUUAACAAAGUUCUUGCCAUAUUAAUUCUUGCGCAUAAUAUCUGUCCGAAUAACGUGCCUUUGCCUAGAAAUGAUCGUGAAGUACAUCUCCUGAUAUGUGAGAAAAAGUCCAUUAAUAUUUUUGUAAUUAUUUGUCUUGCACUCGAAGUGCGUUCUCAUAACUAAUUAUGAAUGCUCUGGUAGCACUUCAUACAAGUUUUAAUUUAUAUUAUAUUCUUAAGAUUUUAGCAUCAUUUUGAUAUCAUUACACUCAUAAACAAAAGAAAAAAAUGUGAAAUUGAUUAAUGCGACGUAAAUUUUAUGUAUAAAAAUGAUCAUGGAAUAUUUUAUUAAAAAAAAUUAGGCAAUUCUUUCCAUUAUUCAACAUUAUAUGAAGUUUGUAUAGUAUAAAGGUCAACAUUUGAUUGUGAUUUGAAUGUCAAAUUAUAGUAGUCUAUUCUUUUAUAAAUUGUUGACAUGUCUGCUGAAAGUCUUAAUAUUUUAAAUAUUUCGAUAAUUUAUGGUUGUCGAAUGAUUCCACAAAUCAUUUUGGAUCUAAGUGUAUUCUUCGACAAAAAUGGAAGAAAUUCCGCUCGUUUCGGAGCAUUGUAAAUAUUAUUGAUAGGUAUACUGUGUAAGUGUAGCAUAGUGCAGAUAAUGUUUUUUAUUACACGCGUAAGAAUAUUGUAAUACUUGUAAUGUUGCGUAUAGUCGUUACUAUUUAUAUAAUUCUGUAAUUGUAAUUGAUUGUAUAAAUUUACUCUUUAUUAUAUAAACUGAAAAUUAA